rnacentral:rRNA from 1 species
GACGAACCGUACGAACGUUAUUCGGAAUCACUGGGCUUAAAGGGUGCGUAGGCGGCGGCGCAAGUUGGGUGUGAAAUCCCUCGGCUCAACCGAGGAACUGCGCUCAAAACUGCGUCGCUUGAGGGAGAUAGAGGUGAGUGGAACUUAGGGUGGAGCGGUGAAAUGCGUUGAUAUCCUAAGGAACACCAGUGGCGAAAGCGACUCACUGGGUCUCUUCUGACGCUGAGGCACGAAAGCUAGGGUAGCGAACGGG